GACGAACGCUGGCGGCGUGCUUAACACAUGCAAGUCGAACGGAAAGGCCUGCUUUCCCUUGUGGAUUGCGGGUACUCGAGUGGCGAACGGGUGAGUAACACGUGAGUGAUCUGCCCCCAACUUGGGUAUAAGCCUGGGAAACUGGGUCUAAUUCCCGAUAGGACUGCAGGGUGGUGCCUGCGGUGGAAAACGAUUUUCUAGUGGUUGGGGAUGAGCUCGCGGCCUAUCAGCUUGUUGGUGGGGUAAUGGCCUACCAAGGCGGCGACGGGUAGCCGGCCUGAGAGGGUGGACGGCCACAUUGGGACUGAGAGACGGCCCAGACUCCUACGGGAGGCAGCAGUGGGGAAUAUUGCACAAUGGGCGGAAGCCUGAUGCAGCGACGCCGCGUGGGGGAUGACGGCCUUCGGGUUGUAAACUCCUUUCGACCGCGAGGAAGCCACCUGGUUGGAAGGGUGGUGACGGUAGUGGUAGAAGAAGCACCGGCUAACUACGUG
rnacentral:rRNA from 1 species